rnacentral:rRNA from 1 species
UCGCCUGUUAUCAAAAAAUCGCNUCUUGCAAAAUAUGAAUAAGAGGUCCCGCCUGCCCUGUGACUAUAUGUUUAACGGCCGCGGUAUUUUGACCGUGCGAAGGUAGCGCAAUCACUUGUCUUUUAAAUAAAGACCUGUAUGAAUGGCAUAACGAGGGCUUAACUGUCUCCUGUCCCCAGUCAAUGAAAUUAAUCUCCCCGUGCAGAAGCGGGGAUAAAAACAUAAGACGAGAAGACCCCAUGGAGCUUUAGAUAAUUAGUUGAAUUUAUGUUAACACCCCUGAUAAAUGGAUUAAACAAGUAACUUUCAACUAAAAUCUUCGGUUGGGGCGACCGCGGGGUAAAGAAAACCCCCCGUGAGGAUUGAGGUAAAACCUUAAAACUAAGAACCUCUGUUCUAAGAAUCAAAAUAUUUGACCUUAAGACCCGGCAUUGCCGAUCAACGAACUAAGUUACCCUGGGGAUAACAGCGCAAUCCCCUUUAAGAGUCCUUAUCGACAAGGGGGUUUACGACCUCGAUGUUGGAUCAGGACAUCCUAAUGGUGUAGCCGCUAUUAAGGGUUCGUUUGUUCAACGAUUAAAGUCCUACGUGAUCUGAGUUCAGACCGGA